AGGUUUGUUUUUAGAGCUAUCUUUUAGAGGCCAUAACUUGUGUUAGGAACGUCCUAUUUAACAAACUCAAAGACGCAUUCUGUAGCUCUGAGAAAGCACUAUUGUAUACAAUUAAAGUGUCUUAAAACCGCUAAUUGCUCGCAGUGCCAAAGCUCACUAAUUUGUGUGUCCUAUGCUGUAGAUGUGGGAACAUGGAACCAUCGUCGGUUGUGUGCAGUGUAUUAUAGUUGUACCCCCGGGUUUGAAGUGAUCCAUGGAUCACAGUACUUUGUCCUCUCGUCAGCAUUUGGAGCUAACAUCAUGAUCAUACUCCACGUGUGCUGGGGGGUGGUCUACUUUGAUGGCUGGGAGAUGCUGCAUCGCGAUGGACUCACCAACCUCACUAAGGGCACACUGCACGGCUACUUCAACGUCCUUCUGGUCAUAGCCUCUCAUAUGGGCAUCUCCCUAUUAUCAUUGCUCAACCAGUCCCUACCCCCCACCUAUUUUCUAGUGGCCUCGUACGCUAUGGCCCUGUUUCUGAUUGGUUACUCCCUGCACCUGGCCGGAGAAAGAAUCGGAACACUCAAGCACUUUGUAGCUCUAUCUAACUCUUGUGAUAAACAAAUGUAGUAUUAUAAUAUAAUUAUCGUGUGUUUGUGUGUGUGUGUGUUAAUGAAACAUGUUUAAUGCACUGG